AGGAUCCGCUCGGAUCUACGAUCGCGACGAUGCGACUGCAGAGGUCUCUGGAAGACCAGGAGUCCUUGCCUGAGGAGAGCUGAUGGAGGAGCCGUGCACCUGGAGAACCAUGAGUCUGCCUGCCAACAAGUAGUACUGGAAGGCGGGGCAUAGGGAGGUGAUGGAGGACCUGCCUGGUGAAGGACGUCAGGGUGGGGCGUGUGACACCCGACUCCAAGGGGAUAUCCACUGAGGAGAGAGCUG